GAUGAAGAACGCAGCGAAAUGCGAUACGUAAUGUGAAUUGCAGAAUUCAGUGAAUCAUCGAGUCUUUGAACGCACAUUGCGCCCCCUGGUAUUCCGGGGGGCAUGCCUGUCCGAGCGUCAUUGCUGCCCUCAAGCACGGCUUGUGUGUUGGGCCUCCGUCCUCCUCCCGGGGGACGGGCCCGAAAGGCAGCGGCGGCACCGCGUCCGGUCCUCGAGCGUAUGGGGCUUCGUCACCCGCUCUUGUAGGCCCGGCCGGCGCUUGCCGACACAUCAAUCUUUUUUCCAGGUUGACCUCGGAUCAGGUAGGGAUACACGCUGAACUUAAGCAUAUCAAUAAGCGGAGGA
rnacentral:misc_RNA from 1 species